rnacentral:rRNA from 1 species
CCCGGCACAAGCGGUGGAGCAUGUGGUUUAAUUCGAAGCAACGCGAAGAACCUUACCAGGUCUUGACAUACCAUUGACAGGCGCAGAGAUGUGCUCUCCUUCGGGGCAAUGGAUACAGGUGGUGCAUGGUUGUCGUCAGCUCGUGCCGUGAGGUGUUGGGUUAAGUCCCGCAACGAGCGCAACCCUCAUUGUUAGUUACUACCAUUCAGUUGAGGACUCUAAUGAGACUGCCAACGAUAAGUUGGAGGAAGGUGGGGAUGACGUCAAAUCAUCAUGCCCUUUAUGACCUGGGCUACAAACGUACUACAAUGGCCAAUACAAAGAGAUGCGAAGCGGUGACGUGGAGCGAACCUCAGAAAGUUGGUCUCAGUUCAGAUUGAAGUCUGCAACUCGACUUCAUGAAGGCGGAAUCGCUAGUAAUCGCGGGUCAGCAGACCGCGGUGAAUACGUUCCCGGGUUUU